UACAGAGGGGGCAAGCGUUGUUCGGAAUUACUGGGCGUAAAGGGCUCGUAGGCGGCCAACUAAGUCGGAUGUGAAAUCCCCAGGCUUAACCUGGGAACUGCAUCCGAUACUGGAUGGCUUGAAUCCGGGAGAGGGAUGCAGAAUUCCAGGUGUAGCGGUGAAAUGCGUAGAUAUCUGGAGGAACACCGGUGGCGAAGGCGGCAUCCUGGACCGGCAUUGACGCUGAGGAGCGAAAGCCAGGGGAGCAAAGCGGG
rnacentral:rRNA from 1 species